AGAUCCAGAGAACCAAACGCCAAAGCCCACUGCCAUCUCCGAGCUAGUUACUGCAUUGCCGCAACCGCCGAACAGAGGAGUCGAUCCGACAUCCCCGCAACUGAGAAUUGAGACCACGAGACAGAUCUAGGAAGGAAAAUAGAUCUGAACCAUACCCUAAAGCCGAAUUCCUGCAAGAAACCGUGCCAUUCCUCUGUGCUUGAACUCCAGAGCAAGUGAAUCACCGCCGAUAUCAAGCAUCCUCGUGAGCGGAGAAAAUUCCAAAAUAAGAAACCCAGACCCAUAGUGGAGAGAAAGACGAAAGAGGUUGAGACACAGAAAAGGUGCAAAGCAGGAAGAGGCGAGGAGAGAAAUGAUGACUCCAAAUGGGUUUGUCCAGUUGGACAAUCUCAUUUCCUGGACAUGUAUAGUCAAAGCCCAAAUAGACUACGUCCAAACAAGACCAACCCUAAUUAACACCAUAACCUUAUGUAUCAUUCUUGACUUCAAAUGCUAAAAUACAUGGUCAAGCAUUGAUCCCUACAGACGCCAUUUGGUAACCUUAUCAUUAUCGACUCUUUAUUUACCAUCGCCGGUGAUAGCAUCGAGUGGGCCAAAGAUGAAAAUAGCAUGGAAGAGAAGAGCCGGCGUUCAACUGUUAAGUAUAAAGAAAAUGAUCUUCCGAAAAGAAGAAUAGCAUAAUAGUUACACCCCCUCUGCUUAAAAGUUGUGUUGACCAUGGUCUUAUAAGUCACCACUGUGACUGAUAAUUUACAUGAUUGAACUUUUGCUCUGUGCUGACUUACUAUAUUGGACUAUGGAUUUAUGCCUUUUGUUUUUUAAUUAAAUGACAGAAAGAAUGUGUUAUAUAUAUACACACAUAAGAUAUUUCUACAGA